UACGUAGGGUGCGAGCGUUAAUCGGAAUUACUGGGCGUAAAGCGUGUGCAGGCGGGGGGUACAAGUGGUGUAUGAAAUUUCCCAGCUUAACUGGGAAGGGUUAUGCCAGACUGUACUUCUGGAGUGCGAGAGAGGGGCGUGGAAUUCCGGGUGUAGUGGUGAAAUGCGUAGAGAUCCGGAGGAACCCCAGAGGCGAAGGCGGCGCCCUGGCUCGCAACUGAUGCUCAGACACGACAGCAUGGG
rnacentral:rRNA from 1 species